rnacentral:rRNA from 1 species
AAGAAGCACCGGCUAACUACGUGCCAGCAGCCGCGGUAAUACGUAGGGUGCGAGCGUUAAUCGGAAUUACUGGGCGUAAAGCGUGCGCAGGCGGUUUGGUAAGACAGAUGUGAAAUCCCCGGGCUUAACCUGGGAACUGCAUUUGUGACUGCCAGACUAGAGUGUAGCAGAGGGGGGUAGAAUUCCACGUGUAGCAGUGAAAUGCGUAGAUAUGUGGAGGAAUACCGAUGGCGAAGGCAGCCCCCUGGGCUAACACUGACGCUCAUGCACGAAAGCGUGGGGAGCAA